rnacentral:rRNA from 1 species
CGGAAGCGUUGUUUCGGUAAUUACUGGGGCGUAAAGGGCUCGUAGGUGGUCAACUAAGUCGGACGUGAAAUCCCUCGGCUUAACCGGGGAACUGCGUCCGAUACUGGAUGACUUGAGUUCGGGAGAGGGAUGCGGAAUUCCAGGUGUAGCGGUGAAAUGCGUAGAUAUCUGGAGGAACACCGGUGGCGAAGGCGGCAUCCUGGACCGACACUGACGCUGAGGAGCGAAAGCCAGGGGAGCAAACGGG